rnacentral:rRNA from 1 species
ACCACAUAGUUCAAUGGCCGCGGUACCCUGACCGUGCAAAGGUAGCAUAAUCACUUGCCCCUUAAUUAGGGGCUGGCAUGAAAGGACACACGAAAGCUUCCCUGUCUCACAAUAACAAAUAAAAAUUAAUCUUCAAGUGAAAAAGCUUGAAUAAAAUUGCAGGACAAGAAGACCCCGUUGAGCUUUAUUCUCUAUAGACUAAAUCAAAUAUUAAAUACAUCAUAAACCUAAAAAGAAUUUAGUUGGGGUGACUAAGGAACACCGAAAACUUCCUUUUAUUAAUUAGGAUCAUUCUCCAUACAAAUUGACCCAUUACACAUGAUCAAAAAAAUAAGCUACCACAGGGAUAACAGGCUAAUCUUUCUCAAGAGCCCAAAUUGUCAGAAAGGAUUGGCACCUCGAUGUUGGCUUAGGGGCCCCUAAUGGUGCAGAAGCCAUAAAUGGUAGGUUUGUUCAACCUUUAAAACCCUACGUGAUCUGAGUU